rnacentral:rRNA from 1 species
CCUACGGGGUGCAGCAGUGAGGAAUAUUGGUCAAUGGACGAGAGUCUGAACCAGCCAAGUAGCGUGAAGGAUGACUGCCCUAUUGGUUGUAAACUUCUUUUAUAUUGGAAUAAAAUGUUCCACGUGUGGGAUUUUGUAUGUACCAUAUGAAUAAGGAUCGGCUAACUCCGUGCCAGCAGCCGCGGUAAUACGGAGGAUCCGAGUGUUAUCCGCAUUUAUUGGGUUUAAAGGGAGAGUAGGUGGAUUGUUAAGUCAGUUGUGAAAGUUUGCGGCUCAACCGUAAAAUUGCAGUUGAAACUGGCAGUCUUGAGUACAGUAGAGGUGGGCGGAAUUCGUGGUGUAGCGGUGAAAUGCUUAGAUAUCACGAAGAACUCCGAUUGCGAAGGCAGUUCACUGGACUGCAACUGACACUGAGGCUCGAAAGUGUGGGUAUCAAACAGGAGUAGAUACCCUUGUAGUC